AGCGUGAUAGCUUAAUGGUAAAGUUUUGUGCUACGGACACAAAGUAUAAGAGUUCGAAUCUCUUUCACGUUU
rnacentral:tRNA from 1 species